rnacentral:rRNA from 1 species
CAGGAUUAGAUACCNUGGUAGUCCACGCCCUAAACGAUGUCGAUUAGCUGUUGGGCAGCAUGACUGCUUAGUAGCGAAGCUAACGCGUGAAAUCGACCGCCUGGGGAGUACGGUCGCAAGAUUAAAACUCAAAGGAAUUGACGGGGACCCGCACAAGCGGUGGAUGAUGUGGAUUAAUUCGAUGCAACGCGAAGAACCUUACCUGGUCUUGACAUGUACGGAACCCUCCAGAGACGGAGGAGUGCCUUCGGGAGCCGUAACACAGGUGCUGCAUGGCUGUCGUCAGCUCGUGUCGUGAGAUGUUGGGUUAAGUCCCGCAACGAGCGCAACCCUUGUCAUUAGUUGCCAUCAUUAAGUUGGGCACUCUAAUGAGACUGCCGGUGACGAGCCGGAGGAAGGUGGGGAUGACGUCAAGUCCUCAUGGCCCUUAUGACCAGGGCUUCACACGUCAUACAAUGGUCGGUACAGAGGGUAGCCAAGCCGCGAGGCGGAGCCAAUCUCACAAAACCGAUCGUAGUCCGGAUUGCACUCUGCAANU